rnacentral:rRNA from 1 species
AUACGGAGGGUGCAAGCGUUAAUCGGAAUUACUGGGCGUAAAGCGUACGCAGGCGGUUAUUUAAGUCAGAUGUGAAAGCCCCGGGCUUAACUUGGGAACUGCAUUUGAAACUGGGUAACUAGAGUUUAGUAGAGGGGAGUGGAAUUUCAGGUGUAGCGGUGAAAUGUGUAGAGAUCUGAAGGAACACCAGUGGCGAAGGCGACUCCCUGGACUAAAACUGACGCUGAGGUACGAAAGCGUGGGUAGCAAACAGGAUUAGAAACCCUAGUAGUCC